UACGUAGGGGGCAAGCGUUGUCCGGAUUUAUUGGGCGUAAAGAGCGUGUAGGCGGCCAAACAGGUCCACUGUGAAACUCGAGGCUCAACCUCGAGAGGUCGGUGGAAACCGUGUGGCUAGAGUCCGGAAGAGGAGAGUGGAAUUCCCGGUGUAGCGGUGAAAUGCGCAGAUAUCGGGAAGAACACCCGUGGCGAAGGCGGCUCUCUGGGACGGUACUGACGCUGAGACGCGAAAGCGUGGGGAGCGAACAGG
rnacentral:rRNA from 1 species